AUUUUCUAUGAGUCUCAGUUUCCCUAUGUUACCUUGUUUCCUACUGAUUCCACCAGUCAAAAUCCAUCUGACAACACAGCUACACAAAACCAUCUACCCUUAACAAUCACUCAGAUAAACUCACUAAUAAAUCAACCAAAUAUCACUUCUACCUUAAAUGAAACCAGUUCUAUUCAACAAACACCAGUUGCUGUCUCUGAACACAACAACCAUCCAAUGGUUACAAGAGCCAAAACUGGUAACCUUAAGCCCAAAACCUUUC
rnacentral:lncRNA from 1 species